rnacentral:rRNA from 1 species
AACGAACGCUGGCGGCGGGCCUAACACAUGCAAGUCGAGCGGGACCUUCGGGUCUAGCGGCGGACGGGUUAGUAACGCGUGGGAACGUGCCCAAAGGUACGGAAUAGCCUCGGGAAACUGAGAGUAAUACCGUAUGUGCCCUACGGGGGAAAGAUUUAUCGCCUUUGGAUCGGCCCGCGUUGGAUUAGGUAGUUGGUGGGGUAAUGGCCUACCAAGCCGACGAUCCAUAGCUGGUUUGAGAGGAUGAUCAGCAACACUGGGACUGAGACACGGCCCAGACUCCUACGGGAGGCAGCAGUGGGGAAUCUUAGACAAUGGGGGAAACCUUGAUCUAGCCAUGCCGCGUGAGCGAUGAAGGCCUUAGGGUUGUAAAGCUCUUUCAGCUGGGAAGAUAAUGACGGUACCAGCAGAAGAAGCCCCGGCUAACUCCGUGCCAGCAGCCGCGGUAAAAC